rnacentral:rRNA from 1 species
GACGAACGCUGGCGGCGUGCUUAACACAUGCAAGUCGAACGAUGAAGCCUAGCUUGCUAGGUGGAUUAGUGGCGAACGGGUGAGUAAUACGUGAGUGACCUACCUUUGACUCUGGGAUAAGCCUGGGAAACAGGGUCUAAUACCGGAUACGACCAAUCUCCGCAUGGGGUGUUGGUGGAAAGCGUUAUGGAGUGGUUUUAGAUGGGCUCACGGCCUAUCAGCUUGUUGGUGAGGUAAUGGCUUACCAAGGCGACGACGGGUAGCCGGCCUGAGAGGGUGACCGGCCACACUGGGACUGAGACACGGCCCAGACUCCUACGGGAGGCAGCAGUGGGGAAUAUUGCACAAUGGGCGCAAGCCUGAUGCAGCGACGCCGCGUGAGGGAUGACGGCCUUCGGGUUGUAAACCUCUGUUAGCAUCGAAGAAGCGAAAGUGAUGGUAGGUGCAGAGAAAGCGCCGGCUAACUACGUGCCAGCAGCCGCGGUAAUACGUAGGGCGCGAGCGUUGUCCGGAAUUAUUGGGCGUAAAGAGCUUGUAGGCGGUUGGUCGCGUCUGCUGUGAAGGCUGGGGCUUAACCCUGGUUUUGCAGUGGGUACGGGCUAACUAGAGUGCAGUAGGGGAGACUGGAAUUCCUGGUGUAGCGGUGGAAUGCGCAGAUAUCAGGAGGAACACCGAUGGCGAAGGCAGGUCUCUGGGCUGUAACUGACGCUGAGAAGCGAAGGCAUGGGGAGCGAACAGGAUUAGAUACCCUGGUAGUCCUUGCCGUAAACGUUGGGCACUAGGUGUGGGGGACAUUCCACGUUUUCCGCGCCGUAGCUAACGCAUUAAGUGCCCCGCCUGGGGAGUACGGCCGCAAGGCUAAAACUCAAAGAAAUUGACGGGGGCCCGCACAAGCGGCGGAGCAUGCGGAUUAAUUCGAUGCAACGCGAAGAACCUUACCAAGGCUUGACAUAUACUGGACUGCGUCAGAGAUGGCGUUUCCCUUCGGGGCUGGUAUACAGGUGGUGCAUGGUUGUCGUCAGCUCGUGUCGUGAGAUGUUGGGUUAAGUCCCGCAACGAGCGCAACCCUCGUUCUAUGUUGCCAGCACGUGAUGGUGGGGACUCAUAGGAGACUGCCGGGGUUAACUCGGAGGAAGGUGGGGAUGACGUCAAAUCAUCAUGCCCCUUAUGUCUUGGGCUUCGCGCAUGCUACAAUGGCCGGUACAGAGGGUUGCGAUACUGUGAGGUGGAGCUAAUCCCUAAAAGCCGGUCUCAGUUCGGAUUGGGGUCUGCAACUCGACCCCAUGAAGUCGGAGUCGCUAGUAAUCGCAGAUCAGCAACGCUGCGGUGAAUACGUUCCCGGGCCU